rnacentral:rRNA from 1 species
AGAACGAACGCUGGCGGCGUGGAUAAGACAUGCAAGUCGAACGGGCUUAGUUUUGGAGCAAUCUGAAAUUGGGCCAGUGGCGAACGGGUGCGUAACACGUGAGUCAUCUGCCUAGAAGUGGGGGAUAGCUCGCCGAAAGGCGAAUUAAUACCGCAUGUGGUUGCAAAACUAAAGCCGGGGCAACCUGGCGCUUUUAGAGGAGCUCGCGGCCUAUCAGCUUGUUGGUGAGGUAACGGCUUACCAAGGCAACGACGGGUAGCUGGUCUGAGAGGACGACCAGCCACACUGGAACUGAGACACGGUCCAGACACCUACGGGUGGCAGCAGUCGAGAAUUUUUCUCAAUGGGGGAAACCCUGAAGGAGCGACGCCGCGUGGAGGAUGAAGGCUUUCGGGUUGUAAACUCCUGUCAUUUGGGAACAAAGUCUUACGUUAACUGCGUGGAGAUUUGAUAGUACCGAAAGAGGAAGAGACGGCUAACUCUGUGCCAGCAGCCGC